UUCAAAAGUUCUCUCAAUUAUGAACUUCACAAAGUUUCUAGUAGCAUUAUUUAUCAUUGUGAUUUUUGUAGCAAAUGUUGAAGGUACAAGUGAGGUGAAACUAUCUUGUGAGAAAAAAUGUAAACUUUUAUGUAUUCUCAAUCCUUUUUGCAUGGAUGGUUGUUUGAAGGAUUGUCAUCAUUCUAUUUCUAUUAAAAAAGCUCAACUGAACAUUGUUCCCAAUUUAAAUAAGAUGAGAAGUUGAUGAAAAACUGCAUGAAAAAUGUGCAACAAAAUUUGCAAUGGCAUGUCAUUUCAUGCUUUUGUUCUUUAGUCAACUACUAUAAAAUAUUAAAAACAAGCUAGGAAAAAUAUGUUAUCUUGAUGGUACUUCAAUUGUAAUCAAUAUUUAUGCUUUUAAUGAAGAAGUAUUAUAUUUGUGAA